GGAGUUAGCCGGUGCUUCUUCUGUGAGUGAUGUCCUUCCUGCCGGCUAUUAACCCGCAGGCCUUCUUCCUCACUGAAAGUGCUUUACAACCCGAAGGCCUUCUUCACACACGCGGCAUGGCUGGAUCAGGGUUGCCCCCAUUGUCCAAUAUUCCCCACUGCUGCCUCCCGUAGGAGUCUGGGCCGUGUCUCAGUCCCAGUGUGGCUGAUCAUCCUCUCAGACCAGCUACGGAUCGUCGCCUUGGUGAGCCGUUACCUCACCAACCAGCUAAUCCGACAUAGGCUCAUCCGAUAGCGCGAGGCCCGAAGGUCCCCCGCUUUCCCCCGUAGGGCGUAUGCGGUAUUAGCCUGGGUUUCCCCAGGUUAUCCCCCACUACCCGGGCAGAUUCCUAUGCAUUACUCACCCGUCCGCCGCUCGCCACCAGGGAGCAAGCUCCCCGUGCUGCCGCUCGACUUGCAUGUGUUAGGCCUGCCGCCAGCGUUCAAUCUGAACCAGAUCAAAUUCUGA
rnacentral:rRNA from 1 species